UCUAGUGAUGUCUUGUGAGGCAGGCCUAGAAGACCCAACUUUACUGCUCUUUUGCUCUCACCUUGCUGUUUCCUGAGGUGGAGUGUAGCAGAACAAUGGGGCCUCCAUCAGGGAAGCAGGAAGGCCUGGCAUACCCCAUCACUGUUACACCAGGCACUCAUUUUCAGCUGAUUACCCACCAUGAUCCUCAAAUCUUUUUCAGCCUCAUUGCUUCUUGGGAUAGAGUCCCCCCGCAUCUCCACCCUGCCUAAGCAUAGAAACAGCUCAUCAGAAACCAAAAGCCCUGGUUUGGGAGACCACGUGAUGAAACUAUGCAGACUUUUGCAAGAGCACAGAAGUUAAGAACUUUUGUUCAGAGGAGGAAUACAGAAAAGGAGCUACUGUCCAGAAGUCAAGAUGAACCUUAUAUAAGCUUUGGGAACCUUCUUCCUACCCAAUACCCACUGAGGCCAGUAGAUCUGUGACUGCUGCAGAAAUGAUCAAUAGUGAUCCUUCACCCGAUUAACAAAUGGAUUACAGAUCAAUAUUUUAGUGACUUUCAACUCUACUACAAGCUGAGCAGAGCAGCAGAGUAGUAAAAUGCAGGAAUAUCAUAGAGACUGAGGAAGAAAUACCAACAGGAGAGGAGAGCUUGGGGCUUUCCCCCACUCAGUCUGGGAUCUCAUGAUAAUAUGGUAUACAAAGUGCAAGCUUCCAAAUUCUUUUGGCAAAAAAUCAAGAAGAAAAAUGGUCUUUCUAAAUGGUAUGAGUUAAACACAGAAGACAAUAGAAACAGUGCCAAAGUUCUGAAGUUCCAUAAAUUUACUCUAUUUUGCUUCCUUUGAAAAGUAGUGAGGCUAAGAUUUUCAAAAGGUGACCAGUGAUUUUGGGGAGCCAGAAUGAGAUGCUUCAUACGGGUCUGAUUUUCUGAAAGUGUUGAGCACCUACCCACUGAUAAUCAGACCCCUCCUUAGAUGUCAAGCUGGGUGCCCCAAAAUGGAGGCACCCAAAAAUCACUGGCUAUUUUAAAAUAGGGUGGCCAGAGUUUUUUAAUGUGUGUGUGAAUGGAUUCAUUUAUAAUAACAAUUGUGAAAAUGUUUGCUUUCACUGAAAGGAAUCUGAUACUCUCCAUCAUCAAAUAUAAAAUACCCACUUCCCAUAAAACAAAUCACUUUCAUUCACAUAAUUGUAGCAGACUCAUGUGUACCAGAAAAUGUGAAACUGUUUCAUUUUUCCAAACACAAAUCCACUGUUAAGGAAAGGUAUAUGGCAGCGUUGAAAAAAAUAUGUCAGAGGCACAAUAAUAAAGGUUAAGAAAUCAAUUAUUAGGAGCCACUCCUGCAAAGACUUAUAAAUGUACUUACUUUUACACACUGGGGGUAGUCCCAUGAAGUCAACAGGACUACUCUACAGUAUGUAAGACGAACACCUGCUUAUGUCUUUUCAGGAUUGCAGCUUAAGUGUUAAGACAGUCCUUCCAUAUUAUAUUCAAAAAUAAAUCAAUGUCAGCCUAUUCCCUCUCCCAAUCCCAAUAAACUGUCAGAGGUAAGGAAGACAAGUAGCAUGUGAACAUUCUUCCCAGGGAACAAACUAAGUAAAUUUCAAAGUGAAGUUCUGAUCCUGCAAGCCUGCAUGAGUCUCUGCCUGCAUGGAAUAGCUUAGAGGAACAAGGCCAGAAUAUGUAUUAAGAAAGAGCUGUUAAAGCAGUUGAUGAGAUUUCUUCCCAUACAUCUAGUUAUAAUAAUGAACAAAUAGAUACCUUGAAUCAUUUACAAGAAAGUUCUUUAAAUUUAUAUUUUAGAAUAAAAAGAGACAAGACAUUUUAUUAAAGCUGAGCUCAAAAAUAUACCUCUAAGAAUUCCUUCCUUACAAACUUAUGACAUAAUUAAUCUCACACCUGAGAUAUGAGUCUGACUGACAUCAAGAUCAGGCUGACAAAGUUUGACUGAGGAUUCCUGAAGAGCGAGCUGCUGCUGAAAGUAGGACAAAAGAUCAGCCAUCUUGCCAUCAUCAUCACCAUCCUCAAUGCUAAAGUAAAGAAAAAUAAAACAAAACCUGAGACUGGAACAAAACAUGCCAACAUCUAGUAUUCACACUGACCUUUUCUUCUCAUUUGAUAUGAUUUCUGAUUUGUACUUUGUAAUUACUGUGUUUCUUAAGAUCAAAGUAUAGUCAUUAAGAUUUCUUAUCACAUAAUGAUAAUCUAAUUUGCGAAGAAAAAAAAAAAGAGGCCUAAUCAGGUUUAUUUAGGUUUUGUUAAAACAAGGAUGUCUUUUUAAGAGAGUAUAAUAACUACAGAAAUGUUUGUUAAUAUCUUUCUUUUAAUCCCAAACCAAGCAGUUUCACUGUUUGGAUUUUUACAUUCACCUGCAGUAUGUGCAACACAAUCAUUGAAGAACUGUGCUAGUCUAUGAGCAGCAAAAUAUUAACAGAAUUAAUUUAUUUUUGUCAUCUAAGAUGAACAGCACAUAAGAAAUAAAACAGCAGCAUUACCAGUGAAAAGUAAAUUAUA